ACUAUAUAUUAGACAUAUUCCUC
rnacentral:miRNA from 17 species